AAAAUCUUAUAUUUUAAUAUAUAUAUAGAUAUACAUAUAUAUACAUACAUAUGGAUAUACGUUUCCAAUACGUACCCGCUUCCUAAUUUUUCAAAAAAUCUCGCUUCUGCGCUUCUAUAAGCUUCGCUUCCGCGCUUCCAUACGCUUCGCUUCCGCGUACCCGCUUCCGUUUCCAUGUAACAUAGCGCAAGACUCGUUUUACCAUCAUAGUCCAAGGGAGAUAAGCAUCAAAACGACAGUGUCAAAUAAGAAGAAUAUACAGGAGCCAAAAGCGGUAAAAAAAAAAAGAAAAAUAAUUGUUAUUCAAAAUCUGACUGUCGUGAUAUUAGGGCAACAUUAUCGGUGGUGGAGAGGGUCCUUACGCGUGGACCCCACCACCUUUUAUCAAUUAUUGUGUCUAAUGUCCCAAAAUAAGAAACGUUUGCACUGUGUCCUUAGCACUGUUUGCAGGCCCCACGACAUGUGGCGGCCCGCGAUUAGUUUAAUUUUUUUUUUUUUUUUUUUUAAACCGAAAAAAAAAAAAAAUUUAAGGACCAAAAAACGUUUUGACCGAUAAUGUUGCCCUUAGUAUAUAUACUCGUCCCUUGUCCCUUUUUUUUAAUUCAGAUUACAAAUACAUUCCCUCUGUAAAGAAGGAACCAAGAAAGUUCCACCACCACUCACUCUCUUUUUUAGCUAGCUCUUUGAUUCGAUCUGAUAAUAUAUCAUGGAAGGAACAACUGCGAUGGUUGACCAGAUGUACGAGUUCUUGGCUCCUGCGAUGGUUCGAUGGAAGACGUACAACUGCUGCUCCGUUGAUCUCACAGCAGUUCCAAGGGACAAAACAAAACGCCUAAGCAGAUAGAAAACAAGGACUGAAACUGUUUCCUCCUCCUAACACAGAAGCAGCAACCUGCUAGAAAGGUAGCAAGCUAGCUAACCCUUCUAAGGAAUCCAUCUGCACAGAGGCCGAAAAACCAGUCACAUUCGUCUCAACCGAAAGGAACUAAUCAGAAAAUUGUGAAAAAGGGAAACGAGUCCCAAGAACAUAGCUCUGGGCACUACCACUCUGAUGAUGGAUAAUCAAGCCAGAUUCUAAAUCCAAAAGCAACAACUCUGCUCCACACGACAAGACAAGACAAGGUCUCGUUAACACCGGUUUCAAACUCCGCAGGAGAACAGAAAAGGUUUCUCAACCUUACACCUUUCAUGUCAACUGCUGAACUGAAUAACUGAUGAAAAAGUUCCAAACAAGACUUGUCACUGCCUCAUGCCAACCACUUGUCCUCCACAGGUGCAGGUGAUAAAUUUUCAAUACCUUGAUUAAAAAAACACACAAGCUUACCAUCUUUGAUUAUCCAUUCAAUUCCAAGAAACUUUUGAUCUACCACAUUUCUCUACAUCUUCCCGUCUUUACUCCAACCCUCACUUAUGGUAGUGUUUUGCCACCGAAACGACCCCACUCAUUAUAUAUUGUUCCUAGAACAAACCUUAAGACCCAAAUCUCUGAUAAAUUCCUAAAUCAAACCGUCGCCGCUUCCAACCAACCCUUGAAAAUGUCAGCCUCUAAUGAUAUUGUUGCUCAAUCGGCAGUUGUCCCCGCAACCUUUUGACAAGCUCCGCCUAGGUCGUACUAGCCAGUUCGGUUGCCUCCUCAGCUUCUAGGAUUCUCGGAAAAUCAAGAAGAACCGUGAAUUUACGGGAAUCACCCUCCUCUUCCUCUAUGUAAAGAGUGGCAGCAGCAACCAAGCUGCAAUUUUGGAUGUGGAAUUUGGACUAGCAACAUAAUCUGCCUACUACACGGGUAUCACUUGGAGUUGCUGAAGCAAGUCAGCUAGGUUAUGCGGGGGACGAGAAAACCCACAAACGUCCCAAUUAGUGAAAUUGUCGAGGCCAUCCAAUCGUCAACCCACUAAGCUUUCGUCUCAUUUUUUUUUUGGGUCAAAGCUUUUGUCUCAUUUUUAUAUUACUGUUUCCUACUACGUACCUCCGUUCCUGAAAGUAAGAUGUUUUAGAUUUUUUUUUGUUCCACAAAGAUAGAUUUUCUAUAUUGUUAAGGUACUUUUUUAUACUUUUGAGGAACAUUAAUUGAGAAUAUUUGAAUUGAUUAAAUUU